rnacentral:rRNA from 1 species
AGAGUUUGAUCAUGGCUCAGAUUGAACGCUGGCGGCAGGCCUAACACAUGCAAGUCGAACGGUAACAGGAAGCAGCUUGCUGCUUUGCUGACGAGUGGCGGACGGGUGAGUAAUGUCUGGGAAACUGCCUGAUGGAGGGGGAUAACUACUGGAAACGGUGGCUAAUACCGCAUAACGUCGCAAGACCAAAGAGGGGGACCUUCGGGCCUCUUGCCAUCAGAUGUGCCCAGAUGGGAUUAGCUGGUUGGUGAGGUAACGGCUCACCAAGGCGACGAUCCCUAGCUGGUCUGAGAGGAUGACCAGCCACACUGGAACUGAGACACGGUCCAGACUCCUACGGGAGGCAGCAGUGGGGAAUAUUGCACAAUGGGCGCAAGCCUGAUGCAGCCAUGCCGCGUGUAUGAAGAAGGCCUUCGGGUUGUAAAGUACUUUCAGCGGGGAGGAAGGUGUUGUGGUUAAUAACCGCAGCAAUUGACGUUACCCGCAGAAGAAGCACCGGCUAACUCCGUGCCAGCAGCCGCGGUAAUACGGAGGGUGCAAGCGUUAAUCGGAAUUACUGGGCGUAAAGCGCACGCAGGCGGUCUGUCAAGUCGGAUGUGAAAUCCCCGGGCUCAACCUGGGAACUGCAUUCGAAACUGGCAGGCUUGAGUCUUGUAGAGGGGGGUAGAAUUCCAGGUGUAGCGGUGAAAUGCGUAGAGAUCUGGAGGAAUACCGGUGGCGAAGGCGGCCCCCUGGACAAAGACUGACGCUCAGGUGCGAAAGCGUGGGGAGCAAACAGGAUUAGAUACCCUGGUAGUCCACGCCGUAAACGAUGUCUACUUGGAGGUUGUGCCCUUGAGGCGUGGCUUCCGGAGCUAACGCGUUAAGUAGACCGCCUGGGGAGUACGGCCGCAAGGUUAAAACUCAAAUGAAUUGACGGGGGCCCGCACAAGCGGUGGAGCAUGUGGUUUAAUUCGAUGCAACGCGAAGAACCUUACCUGGUCUUGACAUCCACAGAAGAAUCCAGAGAUGGAUUUGUGCCUUCGGGAACUGUGAGACAGGUGCUGCAUGGCUGUCGUCAGCUCGUGUUGUGAAAUGUUGGGUUAAGUCCCGCAACGAGCGCAACCCUUAUCCUUUGUUGCCAGCGGUUAGGCCGGGAACUCAAAGGAGACUGCCAGUGAUAAACUGGAGGAAGGUGGGGAUGACGUCAAGUCAUCAUGGCCCUUACGACCAGGGCUACACACGUGCUACAAUGGCGCAUACAAAGAGAAGCGACCUCGCGAGAGCAAGCGGACCUCAUAAAGUGCGUCGUAGUCCGGAUUGGAGUCUGCAACUCGACUCCAUGAAGUCGGAAUCGCUAGUAAUCGUGGAUCAGAAUGCCACGGUGAAUACGUUCCCGGGCCUUGUACACACCGCCCGUCACACCAUGGGAGUGGGUUGCAAAAGAAGUAGGUAGCUUAACCUUCGGGAGGGCGCUUACCACUUUGUGAUUCAUGACUGGGGUGAAGUCGUAACAAGGUAACCGUAGGGGAACCUGCGGUUG